AGUGAACGCUGGCGGUAGGCCUAACACAUGCAAGUCGAACGGCAGCACAGUAAGAGCUUGCUCUUACGGGUGGCGAGUGGCGGACGGGGGAGGAAUACAUCGGAAUCUACUUUUUCGGGGGGGAUAACGUAGGGAAACUUACGCUAAUACCGCAUACGACCUACGGGUGAAAGCAGGGGAUCUUCGGACCUUGCGCGAUUGAAUGAGCCGCUGUCGGAUUAGCUAGUUGGCGGGGUAAAGGCCCACCAAGGGGACGAUCCGUAGCUGGUCUGAGAGGAUGAUCAGCCACACUGGAACUGAGACACGGUCCAGACUCCUAAGGGAGGCAGCAGUGGGGAAUAUUGGACAAUGGGCGCAAGCCUGAUCCAGCCAUACCGCGUGGGUGAAGAAGGCCUUCGGGUUGUAAAGCCCUUUUGUUGGGAAAGAAAAGCAGCAGGUUAAUACCCCGCUGUUCUGACGGUACCCAAAGAAUAAGCACCGGCUAACUUCGUG
rnacentral:rRNA from 1 species